GAUGAACGCUAGCGGGAGGCCUAACACAUGCAAGCCGAGCGGUAGAGUUUCUUCGGAAACUUGAGAGCGGCGCACGGGUGCGUAACACGUGUGCAACCUACCUUUAUCUGGGGGAUAGCCUUUCGAACGGAAGAUUAAUACCCCAUAAUAUAAUGAUUGGCAUCAAUUAUUAUUGAAAACUCCGGUGGAUAGAGAUGGGCACGCGCAAGAUUAGAUAGUUGGUGAGGUAACGGCUCACCAAGUCAAUGAUCUUUAGGGGUCCUGAGGGGGAGAUCCCCCAGACUGGUACUGAGACACGGACCAGACUGCUACGGGAGGCAGCAGUGAGGAAUAUUAGACAAUGGGUGAGAGCCUGAUCCAGCCAUGCCGCGUGAAGGAUGACGGUCCUAUGGAUUGUAAACUUCUUUUGUACAGGGAUAAACCUACCCACGUGAGAGUAGCUGAAGGUACUGUACGAAUAAGCACCAGCUAACUCCGUG
rnacentral:rRNA from 1 species